rnacentral:rRNA from 1 species
AGAGUUUGAUCCUGCUCAGGAUGAACGCUAGCGGCAGGCUUAACACAUGCAAGUCGAGGGGCAGCGCGGGUGUAGCAAUACAUCUGGCGGCGACCGGCGCAAGGGUGCGUAACGCGUGAGCGACAUGCCCGUGACCGGGGGAUAACCGAUGGAAACGUCGCCUAAUCCCCCAUAACAUGAUUGGUCGCAUGGCCAAUGAUUGAAAACUCCGGUGGUCACGGAUUGGCUCGCGUCCCAUUAGCUAGUCGGUAGGGUAACGGCCCACCAAGUCGACGAUCGGUAGCCGACCUGAGAGGGUGAUCGGCCACAUUGGGACUGAGACACGGCCCAAACUCC